UACGUAGGGUGCAAGCGUUGUCCGGAUUUAUUGGGCGUAAAGAGCUCGUAGGCGGUUUAGCAAGUCGGGUGUGAAAACUUCAGGCUCAACCUGGAGAUGCCACUCGAGACUGCUAUGACUUGAGUCUGGUAGGGGAGCACGGAAUUCCUGGUGUAGCGGUGAAAUGCGCAGAUAUCAGGAGGAACACCGGUGGCGAAGGCGGUGCUCUGGGCCAGUACUGACGCUGAGGAGCGAAAGCGUGGGUAGCAAACAGG
rnacentral:rRNA from 1 species